AGAAUCAACGCUGGCGGCGUGCCUAACACAUGCAAGUCGAUCGAGAAAGUGGAGCAAUCCAUGAGUAAAGAGGCGCACGGGUGAGUAACACGUGACUAACCUACCUUCGAGUGGGGAAUAACCUGGGGAAACCCGGGCUAAUACCGCAUAACACCUACGGGUCAAAGGAGCAAUUCGCUUGAAGAGGGGGUCGCGGCAGAUUAGUUAGUUGGCGGGGUAAUGGCCCACCAAGACGAUGAUCUGUA
rnacentral:rRNA from 1 species